rnacentral:misc_RNA from 1 species
AAGUCGUAACAAGGUUUCCGUAGGUGAACCUGCGGAAGGAUCAUUAUAAAAUUUUCAUAUAUUAUUUAUUUAAUAUAUAAAAUUAUAUACAAAAUGUAUUCAAAACCCACACACUUUAUAACCAAAAAAAAAAAUAUAUAUUUUAAUAUAUAUAUAAAAAAACAACUUUCAACAACGGAUCUCUUGGCUCUC